rnacentral:rRNA from 1 species
CGUUCCCAUACCGAACACGGAAGUUAAGCUCUUUAGCGCCGAUGGUAGUUGGGGGCUUCCCCCUGUGAGAGUAGGACGUUGCUAGGC